rnacentral:rRNA from 1 species
GACGAACGCUGGCGGCGUGCUUAACACAUGCAAGUCGAACGGAAAGGCCCUGCUUGCCGGGUACUCGAGUGGCGAACGGGUGAGUAACACGUGGGUGAUCUGCCCUGCACUUCGGGAUAAGCUUGGGAAACUGGGUCUAAUACCGGAUAGGAACCAUCUUUAGUGUGGUGGUUGGAAAGUUUUUUCGGUGUAGGAUGAGCUCGCGGCCUAUCAGCUUGUUGGUGGGGUAAUGGCCUACCAAGGCGGCGACGGGUAGCCGGCCUGAGAGGGUGUACGGCCACAUUGGGACUGAGAUACGGCCCAGACUCCUACGGGAGGCAGCAGUGGGGAAUAUUGCACAAUGGGCGCAAGCCUGAUGCAGCGACGCCGCGUGGGGGAUGAAGGCCUUCGGGUUGUAAACUCCUUUCGCUAGGGACGAAGCUUUGUUGUGACGGUACCUAGAUAAGAAGCACCGGCUAACUACGUG